UACGUAGGGUGCGAGCGUUAAUCGGAAUUACUGGGCGUAAAGGGUGCGUAGGCGGAUAUAUAAGUUAGAUGUGAAAUCCCCGAGCUUAACUUAGGGUAAGUGGCAUUUAAGUACUGUAUGUCUAGAGUCUGUAAGAGGGGGUAGGAAUUCCGAGUGUAGCAGUGAAAUGCGUAGAGAUUCGGAGGAACACCAGUGGCGAAGGCGGCCCCCGUCGGUAGUAAG
rnacentral:rRNA from 1 species